rnacentral:rRNA from 1 species
GAUGAACGCUGGCGGAGUGCCUAAUACAUGCAAGUCGCGCGAAGCGGGGACGGGUGAGUAACACGUGGAUAACCUCCUAUAAGACUGGGAUAACUUCGGGAAACCGGAGCUAACACCGCUACUGCUACAUGGCACCGCGCUCCAGUAGCUAGUUGAUAAGGUAACGUCUUACAAAGGCAACGAUGCAUAGCCGACCUGAGAGGGUGAUCGGCCACCCUGUAACUGAGACACGGUCCAGACUCCUACGGGAGGCAGCAGUAGGGAAUCUUCCGCAAUGGGCGAAAGCCUGACGGAGCAACGCCGCGUGAGUGAUGAAGGUCUUCGGAUCGUAAAACUCUGUUAUUAGGGAAGCGGUACCUAAUCAGAAAGCCACGGCUAACUACGUGCCAGCAGCCGCGGUAAUAC